UGACCCCUCUGACUCUCCGGCCUCUUGCUGCGCCGGACCGCCCAGAUGGGCCAGAGGGAGAUAGGCAGGAGCAGCUCACUGGGCUGCUGGAGCCGAGCCCACGGGCCAGCCGAGUCCAGCCUCUGACCCGCUGAGGUCAAGCGUGACCGACAAAGAGAGGAGAGAGACUGGAGAGACUGGAGAGAGGAGAGAGACUGGAGAGAGACAGGAGAAAGGAGAGAGACUGGAGAGACAGGAGACAGGAGUCUCUCAGGCAGAGUUAGCACAGCUGCCAGAAUCACAGAGGGUCCCAAUCCUACUGGGAGAGGGAGGAUGGAACUCAGUUGAACUGGCAGCCCAGUAUGUGAUCUCCUGUCACAGCCUGAGGAACAGUGCCACCCACACACCGGUCACACCCCUGCCCUGCCCCUGCUCCAGCAGGACUGCACCACCCUCCGUGUGGCCCAGCACCCUCCUCCCAGUCCUGCCCGCACAAGGGUAAGCUCUGUCUGGUCCAGCCCUGCUCGAAUCCCACCCCAGGCUCGUCCCUCUCUCUUGCUUCGCCGGGCAGAAGAAGGCAUCUGCAGCACUGCCUGUGCAGCUGAGGUCACAGCUAGCUGUUGGGACUUGCCAUCCUUUCAACAGAACGAAAUGGUCAGCACUGAAGGCCGACCCUGUGAAGGCAGCGGUCCCUUCCUGUCCCCAGUGCUGGUGAGUGAGAGACUGGAAGAGCUCUAAGCACCCCAAGCCCUGGAAGUGUGAGGACACUGGGAGAGAGUGGCUCCAGUGCAUCAGAAUAAACCUGACUGGAUGCAGAAGUUGCCAUUUGGAGACGCACUCUGGCAUUCCUCCAGUAGUGUUGGUACAUUGAUGGAGCAACUAAUAAACACAGUGAUGGAAAAGACAAUACAUGUUUUCAGCAGUGUAGAGUUGCACCACAGAGGGUAAAGAAAGAGAAAUCAAUUUGUUGACCACUUACUGACCAUUUAUUUAAAAGAGACACUGCCCAUCUCAUGAUGAUGCAAUACAGGGGCUGUAGUGCAAGUUGUGUGAAAGAAGAGAAGAGGACAAACUUGUGUAGUGCUGGAAAGACAGGAGCCAAGCUGUGUCCACCCAGUCAAGCCGUUAGCUGCGGGUCAUUAAGGAGCUGGGCCGCUAGGAAGAGCGGAUUAGUGGGAUAAUAGGAUUGUGGGAGACUGUGCUGCUCCUGGGGCUGCCCACAGCGGACACUGAGACCCCCACCACGCCACACCGCAUCUGCCUCCUUCAUGAAGGAAUAAAUCGACCUGCUAAUGAAACAAAACUAAUUAUAAAGGAAAAAUGGAACCAUAUGGUGCACAACUCCCUCCUUUGACUAAUCUGCCUGAUUCUGUCUCCACUAGAGAACCGGCACAGCACUCUUCCUCUAGUGACUGUCUCUCUCUUUCUCUGUCAUUAUUUAUCUUUAUGGCA